rnacentral:rRNA from 1 species
GACGAACGCUGGCGGCGUGCUUAACACAUGCAAGUCGAACGGAAAGGCCCUGCUUUUGUGGGGUGCUCGAGUGGCGAACGGGUGUGUAACACGUGAGUAACCUGACCUCGACUUUGGGAUAACUUCAGGAAACUGGGGCUAAUACCGGAUAGGAGCUCCUGCUGCAUGGUGGGGGUUGAAAAGUUUCGGCGGUUGGGGAUGGACUCGCGGCUUAUCAGCUUGUUGGUGGGGUAGUGGCUUACCAAGGCUUUGACGGGUACCCGGCCUGAGAGGGUGACCGGCCACAUUGGGACUGAGAUACGGCCCAGACUCCUACGGGAGGCAGCAGUGGGGAAUAUUGCACAAUGGGCGGAAGCCUGAUGCAGCAACGCCGCGUGCGGGAUGACGGCCUUCGGGUUGUAAACCGCUUUCGCCUGUGACGAAGCGUGAGUGACGGUAAUGGGUAAAGAAGCACCGGCUAACUACGUG